GGGGACGGGGUGAGUAAUGCCUAGGGAAUCUGCCUGGUAGUGGGGGACAACGUUUCGAAAGGAACGCUAAUACCGCAUACGUCCUACGGGAGAAAGCAGGGGACCUUCGGGCCUUGCGCUAUCAGAUGAGCCUAGGUCGGAUUAGCUAGUUGGUGAGGUAAUGGCUCACCAAGGCGACGAUCCGUAACUGGUCUGAGAGGAUGAUCAGUCACACUGGAACUGAGACACGGUCCAGACUCCUACGGGAGGCAGCAGUGGGGAAUAUUGGACAAUGGGCGAAAGCCUGAUCCAGCCAUGCCGCGUGUGUGAAGAAGGUCUUCGGAUUGUAAAGCACUUUAAGUUGGGAGGAAGGGUUGUAGGUUAAUACCCUGCAAUUUUGACGUUACCGACAGAAUAAGCACCGGCUAACUUCGUGCCAGCAGCCGCGGUAAUACGAAGGGGGCAAGCGGUAGUCGGAAUUACUGGGCGUAAAGCGCGCGUAGGUGGGUUUGUUAAGUUGGAUGG
rnacentral:rRNA from 1 species